rnacentral:rRNA from 1 species
GACGAACCGUGCGAACGUUGUUCGGAAUCACUGGGCUCAAAGGGCGCGUAGGCGGGCUGCCAAGUCUGGGGUGAAAUCCUCCGGCUCAACCGGAGAACGGCCUCGGAUACUGGCGGUCUCGAGGGAGGUAGGGGCGUGCGGAACUAAGGGUGGAGCGGUGAAAUGCGUUGAUAUCCUUAGGAACUCCGGUGGCGAAGGCGGCACGCUGGACCUCUUCUGACGCUGAGGCGCGAAAGCCAGGGGAGCAAACGGG